GGGCACAUGGUGUAGUUGGUUAUCACGCUCGCUUAGCAACCGUACUGUGUUUGUGAUAUCACGUGACCGUCAAAUGCGAGAGGUGUUGGGUUCAAUUCCCAAUGUGUCCA